CUGAUUUGCUUCAUAGUGGAAGUGAAUCAUUAUAAACAGUUCUUCAAAAACAAAAAGAGGUUCGUAACAUCCACCCUGUUAUCUAAUAAUUUUGAGACCUCACUCUGGAGAGUGAGCCACUCAAAUUACACACUCUCUAUCAGGAAUUGCCACGUCAGCUUUUUUAACAAAAGAUAUCCUUCUCUCUUCAGAAGCUGUGUCCGUGGUACUCACGCGACUCAUUCUCAUCUCUGCUUCAUUUUCAUUGUCCACAACGUACUCCCUGAUUUUUCUCAUCUCUUUCACUCUCCCUCUCCCAAAUCGAUUCCCCUCAAUCAGCGAUUGCAUUUUCAAAUUUCAAACCCAUGAAAUCAGUCCCAAAUCUGAUUUGGUUCCCUCAAUCAGUUUUUUCGAUCAUUCACUCCAUAAAAUCUCGAAACCUUUUCACUCUCCCAAUUCCAAAAAUCAGUUCUCUCUAAAAUGGAUUUUAAUUCUGCAAUGCAAGAUUCCAUGGAUCAUAGGAUUCAUGAGGUUCACAACAGGCACAUCUCAUCUUGAAGAUAUCAGAAUGUUCCAAAAGACACAACCUUAGGUGUUUGGGCUCUCCAAUUUCAAUCUCUGAUGUCGCUUCACGUAUCUCUUUUGUUUCCUCAGGUUCUUGCCAAAAGUUGGAACUUUAGUGUUGUUUCUUCCUUAAAUUUGAUAACCUUCUCUGCUCCAUUGCCACUUAAGAUGGAAAACAAGACUUAUUCAAAGAAGAGUAAACGCGUGGAAAUGUUGACUUGAAUGUCCAUGACCAUGGCAUUAGAUCAUGUAAGCCAAAAUUUACAAUUGAUUUGUAUUGUUGAAUUGUAUUAUAAGAGUAUUUGAUUGGACUUCAGUGUCUAAUUGGUCGUUGGUUCUGUAAAAAGAAUAAUGCUGCUACAAAGUUUAGUAGCUUGAGGGUAUGUUUCACCUUGAACUGUCUACUUAAA